GUGAAUUUAGAGGUCGAAAGACGACCUUCCUCUUCACCAUCUUUCUGACCUCCGAUUGGAGUUCCUCUGGCCGCUUCACCGCAGGCUCUGGCUUCCUUUUCUCCAGGUACCUUUCUAUGGAGAGAUUAUGGACGUUUGCUGGUGAUGGUGGAUGGCGUGUGAGGCUCAGCUUAAGCACUUUUGGACUAACUCUGAAAACAAGAACCUGUACUGUCUGCGCAGGAAGUCUCUGUGAUGACCAGGUCUCACCGUCCAGAUCUGCAGGCAGCUCAGCCUUCAGAACCGUGACAGAGCCAAGUGAUUGUUGGCUCUAUAAACAUUUGUGAACCACGUGGGAUGAAUUGGAGGGAUACAGGCAUGGAUGACCUGUAAUGCUUGCCCAUAGGCUGUGCAGGGGCUGGCUGUGGUCAGGACUCAGCAGGUGAAGGUGCCUGCUGCCCAGCCUGAUGAUCCGAGUCCACUUUCUGGAAUCUCCAUGGUUGACUGCCUCCAAGAGAUCCAGUUUCUCUGUCCUUUAGACUGCCGAGAGGGGACUGGCCAUCUACCUCUCAUAGGCAAUGCUGUCCCUUUGAUCCUGCAGGCCAACAGCUCCCUCUGGUGGUCUCUAGUGGAAGUCUCGACUGUAAGGGGCUUCUGUCUCCUGGGAGGUGGAUGGAGUGGAGAAGGCGAGAUCAGCCGUGGUUCUAGUGGACUCUGCACAGCGCUCCGCACCGUUCAGAUCCCAUAUUUGCCUGAGUGGGGGAGAGGGAACUUGGGAGAGCGUCAGUGAGCCUUGUUACUGUGAUAAAAUAAAUGUCUGGCAAAAACAAAAGAAGACAGUCUUUUGGGGGUUUCAGCCUGUGAUGGGCGAGUUCCAUCGCUUCUGGACCCAUGAUGGAGGCAGCACAUCAUGGUGGAGAGGGCACGGUACAGGCGGCAGAGAUGCUCAUCUCAUUGAGGCAGGGAACAGGUAAAGGGUCCAGGAGACAAGAUGUACCCUUCAAAGGCAUGCCCUGGUGACCUAUGUCCUUCAGUUACACCCUAGCUCCUAACAGGCCAUUCAGUAUCAGAGGGCUGCUCAAUCCUUUGCCCUCAUGAACCAGGAACCUCUCACUAGCACCCCCAACUGGAGCCAAACCUUCAUUGCAUGAGCCUAUUAGGGUUACACUGGAUACACAAACAGGAACAGAGUGCAAGCCCUAAGCCCCACUGC
rnacentral:lncRNA from 1 species